rnacentral:rRNA from 1 species
GACAGAGGCCUCGAGCGUUAGGCGGAAUCACUGGGCUUAAAGCGCGUGUAGGCGGAUCGUUAAGUGCCUUGUGAAAUCCUGCGGCUCAACCGCAGAACCGCUGGGCAUACUGGCGGUCUUGGGCCACUCAGGGGUCACUGGAACAAGCGGUGGAGCGGUGAAAUGCGUAGAUAUCGAGAGGAACACCUGCGGCGAAGGCGGGUUGCUGGGCUGACACUGACGCUGAUGCGCGAAAGCCAGGGGAGCGAACGGG